AGGCGAGAGUGUCGUACGGUGCUCGGAGGUACGUGUUCCCGGCUCCCCUCUAAACCAAGGAGGGGAUGAGUCCAAGGCAUUCCAUGUUCUCAAGUCGUAGGGAGUCGCCCGGCGCCAACCACCUGCGUCCCACAGGAAACAGAUGGUGAAAGCUGGUGCGGACCACACAUGCAUUCGAUGACCUGACUAAAAAAAAAGAAAAGAAAGAAAGAUAAAAAAAAAAAAAACAUCUGCUAGUCUUUUAGUCAGUUAUAACCCUAACUUAAAAAAAAAAAAAAAAAAACAGCUGGUGUUUGUGAUGGUUAGUGGAAUGAUCGGUAUAUACGGCACAGCUGGUUGAGCACGCGCAGCUGGUGACGCCAACGUCGGGUCGUUGACGAGGCAGAUAGAAGAGAGAAGAGAGAAGGAGAAGGAAGAGAGAGAGAAGAGAAGAGAGAAGGAGAAGGAAGAGAGAGAGAA